ACUGCAGGUCUUGAAUUAUUGUGAAGUGGUUAGAAUAAGUAGUGUAGCGGUGAAAUGCAUAGAUAUUACUUAGAAUACCGAUUGCGAAGGCAGAUCACUAACAAUGUAUUGACACUGAGGGACGAAAGCGUGGGUAGCGAACAGGAUUAGAUACCCUGGUAGUCCACGCCGUAAACGAUGGAUACUAGUUGUUUGAACUUCGGUUUGAGUGACUAAGCGAAAGUGAUAAGUAUCCCACCUGGGGAGUACGUUCGCAAGAAUGAAACUCAAAGGAAUUGACGGGGGCCCGCACAAGCGGUGGAGCAUGUGGUUUAAUUCGAUGAUACGCGAGGAACCUUACCAGGGCUUAAAUGUAGAUUGACAGGUUUAGAGAUAGACUUUCCUUCGGGCAAUUUACAAGGUGCUGCAUGGUUGUCGUCAGCUCGUGCCGUGAGGUGUCAGGUUAAGUCCUAUAACGAGCGCAACCCCUGUUGUUAGUUGCCAGCGAGUGAUGUCGGGAACUCUAACAAGACUGCCAGUGCAAACUGCGAGGAAGGUGGGGAUGACGUCAAAUCAUCACGGCCCUUACGUCCUAGGCCACACACGUGCUACAAUGGUAGGGACAGAGAGCAGCCACUUAGUGAUAAGGAGCGAAUCUAUAAACCCUAUCUCAGUUCGGAUCGGAGUCUGCAACUCGACUCCGUGAAGCUGGAAUCGCUAGUAUC
rnacentral:rRNA from 1 species